rnacentral:rRNA from 1 species
GACGAACGCUGGCGGCGUGCUUAACACAUGCAAGUCGAACGGAAAGGCCCUGCUUUUGUGGGGUGCUCGAGUGGCGAACGGGUGAGUAACACGUGAGUAACCUGCCCUUGACUUUGGGAUAACUUCAGGAAACUGGGGCUAAUACCGGAUAGGAGCUCCUGCUGCAUGGGGGGGGUUGGAAAGUUUCGGCGGUUGGGGAUGGACUCGCGGCUUAUCAGCUUGUUGGUGGGGUAGUGGCUUACCAAGGCUUUGACGGGUAGCCGGCCUGAGAGGGUGACCGGCCUCCAUGGGCCUGAGGUACGGACCAGACUCCUACGGGCGGCAGAGGUGGGGAAUAUUGCACAAUGGGCGGAAGCCUGAUGCAGCAGCGCCGCGUGCGGGAUGACGGCCUUCGGGUUGUAAACCGCUUUCGCAUGUGACGAAGCGUGAGUGACGGUAAUGAGUAAAGAAGCACCGGCUAACUACGUG